AUUUUGGAAAAUUGCAGUAGGUCACAUUUCGAUAUCAAUAAAAUUUCUAUUAAUUGUGCAGUCCUACUUUUUGUUAAUGACACGUUGAA